rnacentral:rRNA from 1 species
CAAUAGCAUAUAUUAACGGUGUUGCAGUUGAAAAGCUCGUAGUUGAACUUUUGGUAGGAGCGACCUGGCCUUGGGCGCAUGCCCUUGUUUGCCGUGUGUCGUGUCUGGCCAUCCUUUUCCGUUUCGGCGGGAAUCUUUUACUGUGAGUAAACUGGAGUGCUCAAAACAAGACGUUUGUUUGGUACAUUAAAGCAUGGAAUAAUAAGAUAGGACCUGGUUACUAUUUUGUUGGUUUGCAUAGCUAGGUAAUGAUUAACAGGGACAGUUGGGGGUAUUCGUAUUUAAUUGUCAGAGGUGAAAUUCUUGGAUUUAUGAAAGACGAACGACUGCGAAAGCAUUUACCAAGGAUGUUUUCAUUAA